AGGGUCCAUCAAAUUUGGGGUAUCCCUCACCCCCAUGUUGUCUCAGUUGCCCUACUGACAGAGCUGAUCUUCUGAACGUAUGGCGUGUUGUAUUCCAAGCUGGUCUAAUCUGUUAGGCCGAGAUGCCGAAGAAUAUCCAGAUUCAGAGAGCUAUUUCCAUCCUCCCUUAGCUAGAGAUAACAGGGACUGGACUUGGGUCCUUUUACAUGCUAACCACAUGCUCUUUCUUCAAGUUGUAAGUUGUCAUAGAGAACCUCCCCCCCCCCCAUCAUGAUGGCUGAAUAAUUCCCUUGUGGGGAGGGAUAGUAUUUUGGGUGCAGCAUUCCAGCAGCGGGUGUUUCUGGAGCCAAAGCCAAACGCAACAUCCCCUCUCUCUCUGAUGGACACACACAUACAGUUUGCUUCAGAGAAAAGAAAAAAAAACCUCAGUGCAAAUUGAGUUGCGGGUGGGGGGCAUUCCAGGAUCAAAUCAGAAGCUUUUGUAAUUCUGAAACUGUCCCUAGAAAAUUGGGGGACUUGGAGGGCAUGAGGGAGUGCAUAUUGCCCAGCCAAUACAGGACAUUUUAUUCCCUGAUUCUGGGGGGCCUGGGGGAGGAGGAGCUUUUCACCUGAGGUGUGUUGUGUAAUGUGUAGUCCAAAGUCUCUAGAAGGUGCCAGGAUGGUUGACCCAUAGUAUACCUGAAGGAGCGUUUCCACCCCCAUCGUUCUGCCCGUACACUGAGGUCCAGCGCCGAGGGCCUUCUGGUGGUUCCCUCAUUGCAAGAAGCAAAGCUACAGGGAACCAGGCAGAGGGGCUUCUUGGUAGUGGCUCCUGCCCUGUGGAACGCCAUCCCAUCAGAUGUCAAAGAGAUAAGCAACUACCUGACACUUAGAAGACAUCUGAAGGCAGCCCUGUUCUUCAGGGAAGUUUUUAAUGUGUGACAUUUAUUGUAUUUUUCAUCUUUGUUGGAAGCCGCCCAGAGUGGCUGGGGAAACCCAGUCAGAUGGGCGGGGUACAAAUAAUUUAUUAUUGUUGUUGUUGUUGUCGUCCCCUGUUGGAUGUGGCUCAGGAUUUUGUGGUGCCUUUCCAACCUCCGUCAACCUGGGCUUUGUCCCGAGUGGCUCCUGGUAGCACUAAUUCAGCGAGGCACACUCUUGUCCUGGAUUUGACCCAGGACUUAGAAUAGAGCCUUUGCCAUCCUGACAAAAUGUGGCCUGCCAAGUCACAUGGCCCCUCUUGCUUAUUUGUGGGCAAACAAACUGAUUCUUUGGACUGGUCCCUAACUGGGGCGUUCAAUCCAAGCUGUAGGUCAAGAGGUGGGGAGUUGUCUUGUGCUUGAGGUUUGGAGGUCUGUAGCGCUGAGCAAACUGAGCUCCCAGUUGCCAUGGGGAACUGUGGCGGCCCCCUGGCAUGUGCCGGCUUUGGCUCCUGAGCCGCCUUUCCCAGAUUCACCCUGACAACUCCUGCCCGAAAGUUCCCUUUACACUCUGCUGGAACCUGCAGGAGUUUCCUUUGCUGUGUGCUUCCCUGAGAAAGGGUGGCCUCCUUAAAAAAAAAAUCCAAAAAAAUUAAAUCAAUCAGCUGUGCGGCUACUUGCAAGCCUUCAAGGACCUUUCAAGGAUACAGGAGCUAGGGUGGAGGGGCAGAGAGAGGGGGUUUCCACAGCAUCGCUUGCAAAACCACCCAAUAGAAUUCUUGAAUCCCAGGGACUCUGUAGCCGUUCCAAAGUGUUCCAGCCUGCCUCUGCUGCUUUGAGCAUCCUCCAGUCAGUGCUGUUCAUACCCCGCUGCUACACUCCUAAUACAUCUCUCUUCCUGCUGCAUUUUUCACUGUGAGCCCCCGUACUUAUCAGCUCCAAAAAUAGCUGCACUGCAGAGCGCAGGCAUCCUCCCCAGCAAAGCCCUGCCUUCUGUAAGCCUGAGAUUACAUAAUUCCCAAGGGAAACAACCAAGUGCCUUGUGAUACCUUAAAGCCUGACAAGUUUGUUAUGGCAUGAGAUUUGGGGACUGCGGACCACGUUGUCAGGUCCCUGAAAUGUCAUCCUCAGUGGACAGGCACCUGUGGUAGUGGGAAGAGACAACAAAGCAAUGAAAUUAGAGGGAAAUGGGGAGUGGGUGGUCUUGAUUACCUUGUAGCUUAAAUAUACGUAAAAUUGUCAUGAUGCCCAUCUGUACCAUUCGCUGUCUUGAGGAUAACCAGGGGAGGGGAGGCAGAGAAAUUUGGUUUGGCUCAGAUUUUGCUGUGAACUCUCCUGAUCCACACUUUCUGAAACAGUCUGCAAAUGGGAACACAGCUAUCCUUGGGAAUUUGCACCUCUCUGCCUUUUGUGAUGCAGUUCUCCAAGCAAAUAACGCGUAACAAGAAUGUUUCACAUGGAUGGGAAGUUUGCACAAAAACAUGUUAGUGGAAAUGACAUAUCAAAAUGAGGAUUGGGGGUGUGGGAUUGCACUCAGGUCCUGCUCGUGGGCAUCCCAAAGGGACAUCUGGCUGGCCGCAGUGAGAACAGGAUGCUGGAAUGGCUGGACCACCUCUGGCCUAAUUCAGCACUGCAGAGCUCUUUUUUACCAUCCUGGUAUCCAAUAUCCUUUUUGAGAUGAGCCUUUGUAAAAAGAAAAAGAAAAGUGGAAUGUGUUAACAAGGGUGGUGUCUUAAAUAAGAUGUGGCACAGUCUGGUGGUAGCUAUGGGGCCUUCUGAAGCAAAGCGUUUGCUCUGUCCUUGAAACCUCCCUGUGACAUCUGUUCUACAUGGGAACUGACUUCCCACAUUAGCCAGUACAUUUAAUAAGAUCCGUGGCUAAAGUAUUGAUGGAUCACACUGAUGAUUAAAGAUCAGAGAGUCAAUGUAAUGUGUAAUGUGAGAGUGUUGGACUGGGACUUGGGAGACUGGGGUUCAGAUCCCCACUUGGCCACUAAAGCUCACUGGGUGAUUUUGGGGGGCCAGUCACUGCCUCUCAGCCUAACCUGCCUCACAGGGUUGUUGUGGGGGAUUAAAAUGAGGAGGAGGAGAACCACGUGUGCCACUUUGCUCUACUUGGAGGAAAAGGUGGGAUAUGAAUGUGAGCAAACAAGCAAAUAUUGCGGUGUUGCUUAUAAAAUAAUGUUGUGGCAAUCCAAACUGCCUUGCAUUCCAGGGAUUUUUUUCACAUUCCUUUCCAGAUUGCCUAGGUCAACAGACUCCCACAACCAAACAGCACGGUCCAAAAUGCAUGGUCCAUGCUUCACAUCUGCAGCAAAGGUUGUGGUUCAAACCAUCUAGAGGGCACCAGGUUGGGGAAGACUAACCUAGGGGUAAACAGCCAGACUCUUGUCAGCAUUCUUUUGGAAAAUUCCACCUAUAUUUUAGUAGUCCUGUAAAAAUCAAUUGGUUUCAAAAUAGCACCUGUAAAUUUUCAUAGGGACCAUAUAAAACCUAUAUAACUGCUACUAGACAUUUCUGAGCCGUUUCACUCUAAACAACUGUUGUGUAACUUUCUCAUUCCGCGUUGUGGACUGGCCAAUAACUGCACCAAAGAUCACGCUACAAGAAGAUAAGGAUUUUCCGGACAAGUUUUUCCUUCUUUAUUGCCUUUUAAAGCAUAGCUCUUUAAAGGGAAAUAUGUCAGCUAUUGAACUCAAAUUGGAGUUCAGAAUUUGGCUAGCAUGCCUGAAGAACAGAACAUGUUGCACAAGGCUGUAAUAGAGAGGUUGGGCCUACAGGUGGAAGAGGAGGACUCUUCUCUUUGGCUUUGAGUCUUUCAGUCUUCAUCUUCAUCAGCUUGUUUGCCAAGGAACAUCGAUGCACCACCGAGGAUUCUGGGGAAUGUUCUGUGGUGGACAUUUUGGAUCUUCACUGUGGCAGUCACUGGCUGCCAUGGAUGGUUGGCCACAGAGGAAUGGUGGGAGGAACCAGCUGGGGGAUCCUCAAGGGAAGAAGGCUCAGAGUCAGGGGUGUGGUGAUGGUGGGAAAAUGAUGAAUGGUCAGAGGAAGAAGACUGGGAGGAGGAGGUGUCAGAAGCUGAAGAGAUAACAGGGCAUAGUGAGCUGAGAGAGUCUGUGGCAGAGGAAAUUCAGAAUCGGCGGUAGAUUCAUUGCCUGUCCUCAUUAAAUCCUUGAAAUUCUUCACAACUCUGAGGAGCAACCCUUUCCAUCUUUCUCCUCAUCUUUAUUUUCCAUGUGGGGAACUGGGCAGCACCUGAAACUUCCUGUGUCUGCAUGGAUCCAGAAAAUAGGAUCAGUGCUUCAUAUGUGGUGGGAUUGCCCUAUAGCUCAACAAAGUUUGGAAGGAGGCAUUUGAUUGAACUUGGCAAAAUUACCAACCAAACCCUCUAACUCAGGGGUAGUCAACCUUUUUAUACCUACCAAUGCAAUUUUCUUGAUGGUAAAAUUUCCUUACCGCCCACCAGUGUUGCAGUAACGUGUGGCGCAGAACACCCUACCGCCCACCUGGAAUCCUGAAACGCCCACUAGCGGGUGGUAGGCACCAGGUUGACAACCCCUGCUCUAACUAGAUCCGAUUCUCCUACAUUGAAAGCGAUAACAAUCAUGGAAUUCAAUACAGAUAAUUAACAGCAAUGUUACUGGCUGCAGUGCAGCUGCAAUUAGCUAGCAACUGGAAGGGAGGUUCUGUGUCCACAAAGGAGGGGUGGUACAAAAAAGGGGGGGGGCAGACUGCAUUAUUGGAGUGUUUGACCCAACAUAGGCAAGUCAUUGACAGUACAGUGGUACCUUGGUUUUCAAGUGUCUCAGAAGUUGAACGAUUCAGAACCUGAAUGCUGAAAACCUGGAAGCAAUUGCUUCCCUUUUCAAACAUGCCUCAGAAAUCAAACGGCUUCUGCUGCAUGUUUUUCUAUUUUUUCCAUUGACUUUGCUGGCCACCCUUUGUGCCUCGGUUGUUGAACGUUUUAGAAGUCAAACGGUCUUCCAGCACGAAAUACGUUUGACAACUGAGGUACCACUGUAAAGUGAAACAGGAUCAUUCCAACGUUACCUUGUUUCCAUUCAUUAGUUAACAAAUAUCAAAUUCCCCCUAGGCCACCCACAUCCCAAACAGCUUCCUCCAAUAAUGAGAAGGAUGAGAGUAGAACCCUUUUCAUGUUUAUUGACUGUUAUAUUCAACAGACAUGGUUGAAUAAAAGCAUGGUUUUAUACUUG